rnacentral:lncRNA from 1 species
AUCACCUCAAGGAUUGAUCAUUUCAUUAGUUGGAAACUAUGCAAACUGUUGGAAAAAACUGGAAUUGACUGGCUGUGUUUGGUUUGGACAACUCAUCGAAAUGAGAGGGAGCCCAGCACGAGUUCUGCUUGAGUGAUGUCUGAAAAUCUGGCCUCUCAGUCUACCUUAAAAGCCUACCUAUUUGGCUUUCACUAGAGUUCAGAUACAUAAAACAAAUAUCUUUGCUUUGGCUUCCCUUGAGUCAUAUCAAUCUACACCUCAUCAAGAAUAUGAAGUUUGGAAGAACAAAGAAGCAAUUGAGCAUCCUAAACUCAACGUAGGGCAAGUAACAUGGACAUUGAUACACCAAGUUCCUUCUUGUUUUUCCUUGAAAGUUGGCUUGAUGAAUGUAUUCUGCAGGGAUUUUAAAGGUGUGGAAAUGAAGCAGACAUCAAGGACUGCUGCAGUUUACUGGGGGUCCACUCCAGACCUUAGUUGCUUCAGUUUUUCCCUGUACCUGGAGGUAUCGUCAGUGAAGCCUGCAAAACAGCAAAGAUGGCAGCCUGCUCCUUCCUCUGGAAGCUCCAUCCCAGGGAUGCACUGACCUGUUGCCAGAAGGAACAUGCCUGUAGGAGGUGGCUGGAGACCCCUGCUGGGAGGUCCCACCCACUCGGGAGGAAUGGGAUCAGGGACCCACCCCAAGAAGCCCUCUGGCUGCCCUUUGGUAGAGUAGGUGCCAGGAGACCCUUCCUUGCCUGGACCAUUUGUAUUUUCCAAAGUUGGCAGGCUGGAAUGGCUGAGUUUACCAAACUGCAGAGAUGACAGCUGCUCUUCCCCUGUGAGCUUCAUUCCAGGGAGAGAUCAGAACUUUGUCUGUAGAACCCUUGCUUGUGUGGCUGAAGCCCCUGCAGGGAGGACUUGCCCAGUGAAGAGGAAUAGAUUGAGGUACCGCUUAAAGAAGCAGUCUGGCCAUGAUCUGGCAAGGCAGCUGUGCUGUGCUGCAGGGAACCUCUCCUUGCUCGAACUUCUUGUAUUCUUCAAAGCUAGCAGGCUGAAACCAAUAAAUUUAAAUUUAAAUAGGUAAAAAUAAGUAAAUAAAGAUAAAGAAAAAUAAAUUGACUGAUUUAUUCUGCCUUCAGGAGCUCUUAGAUGAUGUAGGAAAACAAAUAAUACUGUACAAUCAAAGUCGAAAUUCCUUAAGCAGAGGGUCUUAUGAGAACACAAAGGGAAGGCAACUGGAGCUUUACAGAUGACUUCCUAGACUAGAGAUACCUGAUGUGGGUCUUUAGGGUUAAGUCAUUAAUAGCAAGGCCAAGUAGAGGAAGAGCAUAUCCUACAGAGAAAAAAAGAAUAAGCAAAGGCUGGCUGUUGAGAGAAUUGCAAGUGCUUAGUAUGACUAUAGCGGUAGUCUCAACAGGAGCAGGACAUCCUUAGGGGAUGUUUUGAAAAAUUUUUGUGGAAUUUUCUUGGUCCCAGUAAUUAGUAAGCACUAUUAGCCUUAAAAUGAUAAAGGGCCACUGAGCUAGAUGUUCUGCAAUGGGCAAGACAAUUGCACACAAUGAAAAAUUGUCCCAAGUUCAAGUUUGGACAAGUUAGGGAUGUCCCUCCAGGCAUUUUUGUCAAUGAAAAACCUCUUUGUAACUGUCUUGGCAUAGAGCCUAACUCCAUAUAUACAUAUAACACAAAAUAUUUUUGCACAGUUUUAAUAUACACUAAAUUUUCCAGGGACACAAUUACAUAAAUUAAGGAAAGAUCAUGCUUUGCUGUGUUUGGAACUUAUCAAGAGUCAUUCACCAUUCUAGAAAAUAGCAUCAAAGAUGCAAUAUAGCUCUUGGUGUCUGAGUUGCCAGUUCAGCCAUCUGUGUCAAUCUGUAUUUGUAGAUAUUGCAGUCAAGGUGAUAUUAUUUUUAAGCAAAAGUGUCUGACAACUUUAUUAAGUUCCCCAAUGUAGCUGUGCCAUAGCAUUUUAGAUUAUUUUAAAUUGUAUAUUACUUUCCUUUUAUUUUUCCUCUAAUGAUAGAUACUUAGGGCAUUUUUUUUAAAAACCCAAUGAGAAGACAGGUUAUUUUAUCUAUGAGUUUCAUUUCAGGAUAGUAAAAGUGUAUUACAAAAUGCUGGUUGUAACAACGGGGACAUUAGGUUGCAAAGGACAGAAUGGGCUGGUAUGUCAGUAGCAUCUCUUUCCCCAAAGACCUCAGUUGUGACAUGUGAAACUCUAAUUGCUAUGUGAUGUUUCCAGUUGUAAG